AUCCCUGUAGCGCAAUGGAUAGCGCGUUGGACUUCUAAUCCAAUGGUCGGGGGUUCGAAUCCCCCGCGGGAGG